GACGAACGCUGGCGGCGUGCUUAAACACAUGCAAGUCGAACGGAAAGGCCCUGCUUGCAGGGUACUCGAGUGGCGAACGGGUGAGUAACACGUGGGUGAUCUGCCCUGCACUUCGGGAUAAGCUUGGGAAACUGGGUCUAAUACCGGAUAGGAGCCAUCUUUAGUGUGGUGGUUGGAAAGUUUUUUCGGUGUAGGAUGAGCUCGCGGCCUAUCAGCUUGUUGGUGGGGUAAUGGCCUACCAAGGCGGCGACGGGUAGCCGGCCUGAGAGGGUGUACGGCCACAUUGGGACUGAGAUACGGCCCAGACUCCUACGGGAGGCAGCAGUGGGGAAUAUUGCACAAUGGGCGCAAGCCUGAUGCAGCGACGCCGCGUGGGGGAUGAAGGCCUUCGGGUUGUAAACUCCUUUCGCUAGGGACGAAGCUUUGUUGUGACGGUACCUAGAUAAGAAGCACCGGCUAACUACGUG
rnacentral:rRNA from 1 species